AAAAAAAAUAAAAAUAAAAAGAAAGAAAAUUUUGGUCAAUUUCGCUAAUAUCUUUUCCCCUUUUCAUUAAGCAUGCGUAUUAGAUUUUUAUGGAAAAGAAAAUGUAAAUCUAGAGAAGCUUUGACUGCUUUUACAAUUUUGACCUCUAAGCAUCCAACUUUUAAAUAACAAAUAAAGGUAGGAAAAUAAUAGUAAUAGAUCCCAAUUUGAAAAUCUGAGCUACAAUAGGAAAUAUAGAACAUGGUGAAAUAGUAGGUGUAAUUGAGAAGAUGUUUUUAUUUAAAAUUUAUAUGAUUAAAGCAAUAUUAAUGGUGCUGUUUGAGGAUUCUUUAUGGGUAUGGAUCUGCAAAACAAGAAUACUAGUGGUUGGAUUGAGUAAUCUCUCAAAUGCUUAAGUCAGUAACGGAAACUGGAAACUGGAAGAUGAAAAUAUAGAAUAAAGAAGAGAGAAUGAUUAGGUUCGGCGUGUACUUGGUUAUCCCCAUGUAUAUAGGCAUCGGUUGGACUUCCACUUAGACUAGGAGUUUGAGUUGGAAUAGAACUUGGUCUUUGAAUAUCUCGGAUAUUUUUUGUCAGAGUUUUUGUUGGACUGCAAAUCCCUCCUGGACUAGGAUUCUAACCUUGUCGAACGAGCAUAUCUUAGGAUCUGUCUGGGCGAAGGAGAUAGUCAUCCAUAUUUGUAUUCGCGCCCGGGAGGGCAAAUGACUUGUUCUGUCGGUUAACGGGAUGAAUUAGGUUUUCCUAACAUUGUGCUAUUCUUUGACCUAGAACAUGGGGCUACCGAUUUGUUUCUUUUGUAAUUAACCUUGUAUCUGCGAACCUAAUGUAUGAAAAAAAGAGUUAUUCAACAUUUUCAUGCGUAUGGUAUAUGGAUAUGGCUAAUGGAAUAAGCACAAUUUACUAAAGCACUUGGUUGUAACAAAGUAAUUGAUGCGGUCAAGGAAAAGGAAUUGUUUUUAUUUUAUAUUUCAUUGUAAAAUUAAGAAGUUUAAAUUUCUUUUAAUUAAAAAUGUAGAGAAAGGAGAGAUUGAGGAAUGAAUGGUUUGAUUAUUCUCUCAGGCUUUGGGGAUUAAAUAGCUGAUAGAAAAAACUAAUUAGGAAAUCUAUUUUACAGGCAUAAACAAUCCUUCCUAAUUAACUUCUAACUUCCUAAUCUAAUGCAAGAUUACAGGAAUAAUUAUGAGAAUAAAUAUUUACAAAAAAGUUUAGAUUAUUUAGAUAUUUUAUGACAAUGUCAGAAGUAGUAGUUUAUUUUAUUAAGAAAUUUAGUUUAUUUGGGAUUACUAAUUAGGAUUCGUUUAAAUAUUUUCUUAUUUUGUGAUUCCUAAUCCUAAUAGUAGUAGCAUUAAUUAUUGUUCUAUGAACACCUAUGUAAUUUAGAUAUUUUCCUAGAGCUUAUUAUUAUUGCCAAUUGAAAAUCAAUCAAAUUUGGAUAGUUU
rnacentral:misc_RNA from 1 species